rnacentral:rRNA from 1 species
AUUGAACGCUGGCGGCAUGCUUUACACAUGCAAGUCGAACGGCAGCGCGGGCUUCGGCCUGGCGGCGAGUGGCGAACGGGUGAGUAAUGCAUCGGAACGUGCCCAGUAGUGGGGGAUAGCCCGGCGAAAGCCGGAUUAAUACCGCAUACGACCUGAGGGUGAAAGCGGGGGACCGAAAGGCCUCGCGCUAUUGUAGCGGCCGAUGUCGGAUUAGCUAGUUGGUGGGGUAAAGGCUUACCAAGGCGACGAUCCGUAGCUGGUCUGAGAGGACGACCAGCCACACGGGGACUGAGACACGGCCCAGACUCCUACGGGAGGCAGCAGUGGGGAAUUUUGGACAAGGGGGGCAACCCUGAUCCAGCCAUGCCGCGUGCGGGAAGAAGGCCUUCGGGUUGUAAACCGCUUUUGUUCGGGAAGAAAUCCUCUGGGCUAAUACCCCGGGGGGAUGACGGUACCGGAAGAAUAAGCACCGGCUAACUACGUG